CAGCCGCGGUAAUUCCAGCUCCAAUAGCGUAUAUUAAAGUUGUUGCAGUUAAAAAGCUCGUAGUUGAAUUUCGGGAUCAAUAUUUCGGUCAUGCCGUUGGUAUGCACUGUUAUCAUUGAUUUCUCACCUUCUAAAGAACCGUAAUGCCAUUAAUUUGGUGUUACGGGGAAUUAGGACUGUUACCUUGAAAAAAUUAGAGUGUUUAAAGCAGGCUCACGCUUGAAUACAUUAGCAUGGAAUAAUGAAAUAGGACAUCCGAUUCUAUUUUUGUUGGUUUCUAGGAUCGAUGUAAUGAUUAAUAGGGAUAGUUGGGGGCAUUAGUAUUCAAUUGUCAGAGGUGAAAUUCUUGGAUUUAUUGAAGACUAACUACUGCGAAAGCAUUUUGCCAAGGAUGUUUCAUUAAUCAAGAACGAAGUUAGGGGAUCGAAGACGAUCAGAUACCGUCGUAGUCUUAACCAUAAACUAUGCCGACUAGGGAUCGGAUGAUGUUAAUUUUAUAAUGACUCAUUCGGCGCCUUACGGGAAAC
rnacentral:rRNA from 1 species